rnacentral:rRNA from 2 species
ACGAACGCUGGCGGCGUGCUUAACACAUGCAAGUCGAACGAUGAAGCCUUUCGGGGUGGAUUAGUGGCGAACGGGUGAGUAACACGUGGGCAAUCUGCCCUGCACUCUGGGACAAGCCCUGGAAACGGGGUCUAAUACCGGAUGAUAUCCCCUCUCGCAUGGGAGGGGGUUGAAAGCUCCGGCGGUGCAGGAUGAGCCCGCGGCCUAUCAGCUAGUUGGUGAGGUAGAAGCUCACCAAGGCGACGACGGGUAGCCG